CGAAGUGACCGAAAGCAACCAGAUUGCCCAAAACUGUUCGCUUAGUUGGGAAAUCUAUGUGACGGUCGUCAAACCGUAUUGUUCGCCGACUGUUGACCGAAUGUUUAUUGUAGUGAUAAUACCGAUAAUAGUCGUGUGCUCAUUGUUUUAUUGUUUGAAUAUUUCCACGAUCAUGUUUUAUGACCAAAUAUCGCAGACACCUAUUUCGAUAGUUAGCUAAACUUGGGCACCGGGUCGCUAAAUUGAACGAACGACGAGCAAACAAUUAUAGCAAUCGGAGACGGUAUGUUAUAAAAUCUUGGCAAUAAUUUUGGUGCA